rnacentral:rRNA from 1 species
AAUAUUGGACAAUGGGCGCAAGCCUGAUCCAGCAAUGCCGCGUGUGUGAAGAAGGCCUUCGGGUUGUAAAGCACUUUUAUCAGGAACGAAAUACCACGGGUCAAUACCCUGUGGGGCUGACGGUACCUGAGGAAUAAGCACCGGCUAACUUCGUGCCAGCAGCCGCGGUAAUACGAAGGGUGCAAGCGUUAAUCGGAAUUACUGGGCGUAAAGGGUGCGUAGGCGGUUGCUUAAGUCUGUAGUGAAAUCCCCGGGCUCAACCUGGGAAUGGCGAUGGAUACUGGGCAGCUAGAGUGUGUCAGAGGAUGGUGGAAUUCCCGGUGUAGCGGUGAAAUGCGUAGAGAUCGGGAGGAACAUCAGUGGCGAAGGCGGCCAUCUGGGACAACACUGACGCUGAGGCACGAAAGCGUGGGGAGCAAACAGG